UUCCAGCUCCAAUAGCGUAUAUUAAAGUUGCUGCAGUUAAAAAGCUCGUAGUUGAACUUCAUGAGCAGCAGGUAGCUUACUACCUGCUCUCUACCAGUCUUUCGACUGUUACUGUGAGAAAAUUAGAGUGUUUCAAGCAGGCUAUUGCAGGAAUACAUUAGCAUGGAAUAACGAAUGUACCUACAAUUUGGUUAAUUGUAGAUUACUAUUAAUAGGGACAGUUGGGGGCAUUAGUAUUUAAUUGUCAGAG
rnacentral:rRNA from 1 species